CAGUGCAUUCCGUUGAUGUCGACGGCGUGAAAAUGGAAACAAGUAUGCCGUCUCACUGUGCUGCAUACAAUUACACACUACGUUGUACGAUUGAGACAAGGAAACUUGGAAUGACUUUUCAUAGGUAAGAUUAGUUUUUGGCUCUUUUUUCAUUAUGAAAUCUUGUUGAGAGCUUCCAGUCUAUGAGAGCUAACUAAUUAGCCACUAGCAAAACACUAAGGUGAGCUAGCGGCUUGACAAGCAAAUACCAGACAAUUAAUAGUAGCUGUAGUAUAGUUGUACAAGCAGUAGUAGUAUAAAAUAGCUGUUAGAGUCAUAGAAGUAGUAUCAGCAUUUGUAAUAAUAUUACAAGUUGUAGUAGCAGUGCCAGUAUCAGCAGCAGUAGUUAGUGUAGUACCACUACUACUAGUAGUAGUCACAUUGCUAUUACUACCACCAAUACUACCAAGAGCAGUUAUAAAGCCUAACUCAUAUAUAUCCAGAUUACCAUCUAUGUUCUUCCUCCAAACCCAUUUUAUGAUUGGGAUUACAGGCAGUUCUUUAGGACUGCUCUCAAAUAAUUGAAAUGUUACUAAACAAGGUUAUACUUAUCAAAUUAAAUAGCUCUGGUCUCCAGUAUAUUGGCGAAUUCGGUUCUUUGUACUUAAUUAUUUAGCAUGAUUUCUUUUUUAAUACGUUGUGUAAAGACUUAAUUACUUCUCUGUCUACUUUUCUUACUCCAUGUAGGUUUCCCAGAGACUAUGGGUUGAGGAGGAAUUGGAAGUUUGUCGGCUUAGACCUGGUGUCAUUCCAUCUGUGUUAAACUUCCCGGCUCAUCUUGGAAGAGUAUGUGCCAGAAAGACCAUGACCAAGCAGCCUUGAGAUCUUAGGCAGCGUCUCCCUCAGGUCCCUCUCUAUCUCCCCACACAUCCACCAACCACUGGAACACAUCUCCAAAGUUCUGCCGGGCCAGCUCAGCUUCCCCUCAGAAGAAGUUCCACCAGAUGAAGGAGCCUUUUGAGAGGCAGCUGGCAUCGUGAUUGGACUGUACUUUGGUCUGUUCCAAUCCAGCUUCAGCUCCAGAGACGGCAGGCGGGACGAGUCAACGGAGGCCGGGUGGAUGAAGGCAUGCAGCUGAGUACAAUCCAGAAAACAACAGAGGAGGAGUGCAGCGGCCCAGAGCCAGAACAAACAGUAGCAUCGUAUGUCUCUUAGAAAACAUCAUAGUAUAGCCUUUGGUAUGAAAAAACGCCAUCAUAUACAUCCUAUAUUGUACAAAUAACAAGUCAAAGGAAAGAGACAUCAACUGUAGAAUUGUAGUAAUUGUGGGCUGACUGAUUUACUGAUUAUCAGUAUUUUAUUUUUUACUGAUUUACGGUAAUAAAUACAUUUAAAAAUGGUG